GCUGAGGUUGAAGAUGGCAUUCUUUUUGUGAGAAGACCGAGGCAAAGAAGGCAUUGAGCAGUUCUGCCUUUUCCCUGUCCCCUGUCGCCAUCACCCCAUCUUCUCCUUGCAGAGGCCCUAUCGCCUCCUUUUUCUUCCUUUUUCUACCAACCAUCAGCAGAUCUGUCUUUUGUCCAGCCAAUCUUCAGCCGUCAUUUCCCCACCAAACGGAAUCCCCGCCUGGAGGUGGAACACCAGCAGAGCUUCCAGCCAACCCCAGCACAGAUCCUAGACUGCCUUUUUUUCAGCCAUUCAGGGGAGGGAGCGGGAGGUUCGAAUCACU
rnacentral:lncRNA from 11 species